rnacentral:rRNA from 1 species
GACGAACCGUGCGAACGUUAUUCGGAAUCACUGGGCUUAAAGCGUGCGCAGGCGGUUAUAUAAGACAGAUGUGAAAUCCCCGGGCUCAACCUGGGACCUGCAUUUGUGACUGUAUAGCUAGAGUACGGUAGAGGGGGAUGGAAUUCCGCGUGUAGCAGUGAAAUGCGUAGAUAUGCGGAGGAACACCGAUGGCGAAGGCAAUCCCCUGGACCUGUACUGACGCUCAUGCACGAAAGCGUGGGGAGCAAACAGG